UGGAGAGAAAGGCAGUUCCUGAUGGUCCCUUCCCCAGGGGCUGGCUUUCCUCUGGU
rnacentral:pre_miRNA from 1 species